rnacentral:lncRNA from 1 species
UUGUCGAUGUCGUCCUCGUAAGGCAAUAAAUCUAGCUUCUUCGAUCGCGUUUGCAUACACUAGUCAAGAAACACCUGAAUAGAACAGAAAAGAAAAAGUUUAAAUUAAGAUUAACGCUAUAAAAAUCAAUAAUGACAAAAUAUUAAACUAAUUUCCCCGGCAACGGCGCCAAAAACUUGUUGCCUAUAUUUUUAAUAUCACUUUACCACGCAAGUAUACACGUUCAAUUGUAAUAUUCAGCAAG